GUGUCAGCCGCCGCGGUAAUACGGAGGGGGCUAGCGUUGUUCGGAAUUACUGGGCGUAAAGGGCGUGUAGGCGGCCUGCCAAGUCAGAUGUGAAAGCCCCGGGCUUAACCUGGGAACUGCAUUUGAGACUGGCCGGCUAGAGGUUGGAAGAGGAGAGUGGAAUUCCCAGUGUAGAGGUGAAAUUCGUAGAUAUUGGGAAGAACACCAGUGGCGAAGGCGGCUCUCUGGUCCACACCUGACGCUGAGGCGCGAAAGCGUGGGGAGCAAACAGGAUUAGAAACCCUUGUAGUCC
rnacentral:rRNA from 1 species